GCAAACUUGGUCAUUUAGAGGAAGUAAAAGUCGUAACAAGGUUUCCGUAGGUGAACCUGCGGAAGGAUCAUUAUCGAGUUAGGGUCUUCUUAGGCCCGACCUCCCAACCCUUUGUCGAACUUACCACUUGUUGCUUCGGCGGGCCCGUCACUCUCCUCACAGAGAGGGACCGCCGGAGGACCGUCACACGUCCUCUGGCCCGCGCCCGUCGAUAGCCCCAUUUAUUAAAAUUCUGAACAAAACGUGUCACAAUCUGAGUAUCUAUUUAAAUAAAGCAAAAACUUUCAACAACGGAUCUCUUGGUUCUGGCAUCGAUGAAGAACGCAGC
rnacentral:misc_RNA from 1 species